rnacentral:lncRNA from 1 species
AGGUUGCUGUUUUGAGUUUUAUGUUUGUUUAAGUAUUUUAAAGUAUAGUUUUGCAUUCUUUGAGUCUAGUUUAUUGUUUUAAAUUUUGUUUUUAUGUUUUUAAGUCAGUUUUCAAGUGUUUAGCAAUCUCUCCUAAUCCCCGGCCUAGAACGAUCCCUACUUACAUACUUUACUACAUUUGAUAAAAAGAGGGUUUAAUUUUGUGUGUUAACUUAUUUUUCACAUCAGAUCUAACGAUCCAAAGCAUCCAUCUAUGACCAACUUGUAAUUUAUGUUUUAGAGGUGUCACAACUCAGUGGGAUUACUCACUACCUUGCAACCUUUUGGGUUUUAAGCAUCGUUAUAUUCUAAACAGUUAACACUAUCACAUCAUCUCUACUAUAUAGACAAUCAAUUAGGUUACAAUAAUCCAAUCAUUCAUUAAUAAGGAACAAUGUUUUGUCAAACAAAACAUUCAUCCAUCUCUUAAAAUUAUAGUGACGGAAUUAAGUUCCUUAUUUAAAUUGGAAUGUAAGGACAAUCUUUGUUUUUCCAAUUUCUUUGGUAGUUCAUAUGAGGAAGUAAGUACUAUCUACUUUUGUAGAGAUCUAUAUUUUAUUCAUGUUCCGAAUGUGAAGUAAUUUCUCUUCUCUCAUUAAUCUUCUACUUCUUAUUAGCCACACGUUUACAAUGAUUGUAAUACAUAGUUACUAAUACGGAAUCAAGCAUUCAAGUAGAAGAACCAACUGUUUUGAACUAUUCAAGAACAAUUUACACCACCUUCAAAAGGUGUGUUCUUGACACUUGCAAGACAUUUCUUGCAAAUAACCCUUCCAAAUGUCCAUCCUUUCAAAAGAAAGUUUGUUCCCCUGGAGUUAUUUUGCCUUCUUCAUUUGACUUGUCCAUUCACUACCAUAAUCAUGGCCCCUUAAACUCCCACUAUCUCUCUUGAAACUUAUUUCAAUUAUGUUAUACACAUCAAACGAUUUGGAGAGUGUGUGGUUAUUGUUCACUAUAUAGUUUACAAUAAACUUAGUGAACCAUUUGGAUAGGGACUUAAGGGUGAAGUCCUUGCCUAGUUUCAGUCUCCUGAAGUGGUUUAACACUUUAACACUCAAUGAUUGAAAAUCAUCAUAAGUCUUUGUUGAUGGACUAUUUUUGUCAAUCAACCAUUAUAUUCUAAACAUGAUUACAAACUUUCAAGAGUUGUUCGAGGCAACUCUCAUCUUUUCAUACAAUGAUUUGUAAUGGACGAAUUAUGACACUAAAAGUGUCCAUGUCGUUGUGCUAAUCUUCUCAAGUUCCUUUGUUCAUACAACAAGGGAAUAAGCAUUUGUUGUUUGUAUUGUCCUCUUUAUGAUAGACUUAUCUAACAUGUUCUUCCAAUGAUACAUUAUCAAUAGGAGGUAUAUAUACAAUCCAUUCAAGACAAUCUAUGGGUUUGUGGUACCAAGUCCCGAAACUAAAGCCUUCGGCUUUUCUUUGUCAAGUUUUGGAUAGCGUUUGCAAAUAUAUUGAUAAAUAAAUACAUAACGAAUAUAAAUUGAUUGAUUUUAAGCUAUUUGAUUUGGGUCCUUAAAUCAAAUAGGACCGCCCAUUAUUUUUGGCAAAUUCCAUAUCCCGCAUUGGAAUUUGAAAGUUUUGGAGGAAACUCUUAGUAGGGUAUGGGAGGCUCACUAUUACCAAGCCCACCUCACAAUGAUAUGAUGUUGGCUAGCAUCAAUAAUAAUGGGAGAGUACGCUUACUCAUUUACACCUCAUGUAAGUACCCAUCUUAUUUGGCCUCUAGAGAAUGAUGCCUCACAAUGAUAUGAUGUUGGCUCCAUUGCACUUAGUUAAGUCAUUCCCACCAUGCAAGUUCGGGUAGGGGUUCAAGAGCAACCUCACAAUGAUAUGAUGUUGAUCAUUCUUGUUGCCUACCUUCACAACAUCAUAUAUGCGUAUAGAACUUGUAACAUCCCACAUUGCCUAGUGGAAUAGAUCCUUUAAGUUUUAUAUUUAUAUUCCCAUCUCUACCUAGCACGAGGCCUUUUGGGAGCUCACUGGCUUCGAGUUCCAUCGGAACUCCAAAGUUAAGCGAGUUCGUGUGAUUGCAAUCCCAGGAUGGCUGACCCACUGGGAAGUUCUCAUGUGAGUUCCCAGAAACAAAACCGUGAGGGUGUGGUCGAGGCCCAAAGCGGACAAUAUCGUGCUACGACAGAGUCGAGCCCGAGGUGUGGUAAGGGCCCGGGCUGAGACAUGACAGAACUCCUGAGUUUAAGCACAUACUUUGUACUCCUCCAUGAUAGGGUGAAGUUGGUGUAUGAGUCACAAACGAUCAGAGCCUACCACGGUGAAAGGCCACAAAAGAAUGUUCAAAGCACUCUGACGCUUGUCAACUUAAUAACAAUUUAGUUGAGGGUUUUUAGGCAUCAUCACAUAUAAGCAUGCAUUUUAAUCUCAUUAAAACAAUUUGGUCCUAUUACAACUGUUGGUCCAUGUGAUUGAUUUAGUAGUAUAUGAUACUCCCACUAUGCUUGCAAAAUGAUUUUUAUAGUAAGAGUGUAUGGUACUACUAACAUAAGCUUUGCAUUCAUUGAUGGACUAUAUAGUUGCCUUAGGGCCUUAAGAUGACUAUGAACCUUUGAUUCUAUCCAACACGACCCUGGGGUUGGAUCUUGGUCUAGGGAUGGUGAUUGAUUUUACUUAUGCGUUUAAUCACAUUAAGGCGUGUUUACUUAUUGGGCGUUCGACCCAACUACUCCAAUUUCAUGCAUGUCAAAUAAAACAAGAGAUGAGUACUUCAAAGUAAAGAAGAGCUUAUGCUCUUUUACAACAUUUGAUCAACUCAAAAUACUUUAAAGUAGAGAAGAGCUUAUGCUCUUUUACAACAUUUAAUCAUAUCAAAUUACAACCAAAAACUAAUCUACACAUUCCCAUGGUUCAAACAAAUUUGAGAGAAGGCCUUUCACAUAGCUCAAUUAUUGUAGGCUUAAGUUCAUAAUCACCCUUUCUUUAAUUAAUUAAUGCUUUAACUAAUUAAACUUGAAUGCAACAUUAUCAUUUGGUUUUUGUAUCCAUAGAAUAGAUUUAAAUGGAGCUAAAAUAAAUGAAAAUCCAAUUCUCAUUUAAAGAGACAAAACUAUUUUGUUCUCAACUAAUUUGGGCCAAAAUACAAUAACCUCAACUUUUGGGCUAUAUUGUAGAAUACAAACUUUUUAGGUCACUUUGUCAAAACACAAAAUUUCACUACUUCAUGUAAUUACAACUAGAACCCAAAAAUUUCAACAAAUACAAAAACUUCAUUAAAGGAGCAACUGGAGAACCUAGGUACUCAGCUUGACGGGGAAUUGGCCCAGGACUUCAGCUUGGCUUUUCUUUCUGAUUCGUUCUCACAGUUCGUUAUGAACUACAACAUGAACAAGAUGGAUAACACUCUCUAUGAGUUACUAAACAUGUUAGUACCGUUGAGAAGAUUAUGAAGAAAGAGAAUGUUGUGGGGACUUCUGCAGUAGCCUACAACAAGCCAUCCACUUCCAAAGCCAAGUCGAAAGGCAAAGGCAAAGGAAAGGAGAAGAAGUCAUCCACUCCUAAGGCCCCAGGAGAGUGAGGAAGAAGAAGGCAAAGGAGCCCAAUGGGACCUGUCACCACUGUGGAAAGGACGGGCAUUGGAAGAAGAAUUGCAGGCUAUACCUUGCAUCUCUGAAGGACAAGCCAUGAAGUAUGGUUUUUGUUCUUAUCUUCCAUUCUAAUUAUUAGAUCUUCUAAUCUUUAUAUUUGAUAGAAAAUGCUAAUCACAUAUGCAAUUGUAUGUAAGUGAAGGACCCAAGUAGAAGAUGGACGAGCAAAGAAAGGAUGGAGUGAAGGGUUCGGCCAUUAUUUUUUGCUAACUACUUAGGAAGUUUGUUAGGCACUUUAAAGAUAGUCUUUAAACUUUCUUAUUUUGCUAAGAACUUAUUAUGUGGCUUUAUAUGAUGGAAGACCCACUUUUGGUGCCUAUAUGAAGGUAUAUAAUUAGUCUCUAAUGUAAGAGCUGAAGGAAAUAUUUGUAAAAACAAGUUCAUUUGAGCAACAUCUAUGCAUGCUAUUAACAAUUAAAAAGCGGAAUCAUGCCUGUAUGCACUCAAAAACAAAACUUAACCCAUGAAAUUCAAAGCCUAGUAGCUAUGGUGAACCAAGACUCAACUCAAAAUAAAGUGAGUUGAGAAACUUUAUACCUUUGAAGCACCUCUUUGCUUAGCAAACGUUAAUCACCUAUGUGAGGGCCUUCUUUCCUUUGUCAACUUGCUCUUUGGCUCCAUGGAUUUGGAUGGAGGAACUUUGCUUCUUGGCUCCAUGUCUUCUUGGAUAUGGAUGGAAGAAUUGGGUUCUCCAAAAGUCCCCAAAGUUGGAGACCUCUAAGUUUCGACACCAAGGAUGGUUAAUGAAGAAGAUGAGUGACCAUGGACUAAUUAGAUGCUAGUAAAUGACCCAUGGUGGCCGGCCUCCUAGAGAGAAAAAGGAGAGCUUUUGUUUUAUCCAUUUUCCUCAAGAAAACCCUAAUGAAGAAAAAGCUAUAAAGUCACAUUUAUACCUACCUUUAAUGGAGUGGCAAACUUGUAAUAAGUCUAAAACCCACUCCCUCUCUAAGCAUGACCAGCCUCCCUAUUUUUAGUGGGUUAAUUGCCCAUUUUGUGUUAGUUGUCACACAACUUAAACCUUAUGUGCAUUGUCGACCAAAACCCUUUUUGUGUCCCAAAACCCAAAACUAACUUAAGGCCAAAAACGAACCUUUCACUCUAGAUUAAUGAACUUUUAAUUAAUCCUUGCCAUAUACAAUUAAACUAAUUAAUUGUCCUUACUCAUCUUCGUUAUAUCCUUCAAUCAUUACCUUACAUGCUGUAUGAUCCAUUAGGUUCCUUUCAGCGAGGCAGUGGGCGAUAAGAACUCUUCAAAUCAAUUGUGAAUUGAAACAUACUUUCAAUUCUCCCUUUAGUUAUUACUCAUUUUUAGGGCUUCCACAAACCAUGAGUGACACCUAGCAGUAUGUCAUGGCUACCCAAGCUAAUCAGAAGAGGUGGAUAACCUUUUCAGUUUAGGAUUACAAUGCAAUAUGGUCUUGACCACAUUGUUUGGUUUGAUAGUUUAUUCAUGUCUGCUAUCCAAUGUGAUUCUCUUACUUAUAUGUUUACUUUGAACGUGAUUUUGAAUGACUUCCUAAGUGUCAUUCAUACUAUGGCCAGAGAUUCUUAAUCAUAUCAUAGUGUAUGUUCCCUCAAACGGUUUGAAGGUUAAAAAUCCCUUGUUGCGCAUUCACUUACCUUCACGGCAAAGUGGCUUAACCCCAGCUAUGUCGUGGACACCCUCUGACGGAGUGACUUUAACAUAGUCAAAGAUCAAGGACCUAACCAUAAGACAACUAUGAUGCCUCAGGUCAAAGGACUACUUUGCAUUAUCCCAACCAUGUGUUCUCAUGUGACAUGCAUAUGAGAACUUCUUGUUGAUCGUGUUCAGUGGACUCAUUCUCUAUUAAGUAUCUACAUGCUUCUCUUGGUGUCAGUCACACCAAUGACUCGAGACCAGUCACUUUCCUUAAGAGAAGACAUAGCACGUACUGAUCUUAAUGGACCGUCAAUUCCCAAUUGGCAAUCCUAUGAUCAGGAACUUUUAGGAUAUGUAUACGAAAGAGCAUGGUCUCAUGAAUCUAACUUUUGUAGAUCACAUUCUCCCAAUUACAUAUUCCUUGGACAUAUCGUUUAAGCAUAUAACAUUUAUAUGAGACGGUUUAAAACAAUAAUCUUUGCCCUUUAUAUUAAACUAGAUUAGUUUAACAUGUAAAAUGUUCGUAAAGUAUCAUCAUAUGAUUGGUUUGACGGCACAUUUCCAACAAUCUCCCUCUUGCACUAGAGCCAAUCAGCUUGGUCAUCAGUGAUGAUACCUCAUCUGAAUUCAUUUCAAAAAUGGCUGAGUAGUAGGCCUAGACAAUGGAUAUCUAUAUGUUAUCCAUAGAAGCAACCUUGAGAAUAACGACGUCACCAUUAUACAUGAUUCUCAAUCAUGUGGUUCAGUCUCUCAUUUGAGUUCGGAUCUUGAUGAAACCUUGAUUCCCUGGCUUGAGCUAUCGCCCCAUUAGUGUCGUAGUGUCUGCACAUUAGAGACACUUUCUGGUUGGAACCGAAAUGGAGAGUUCAUAAAUGAACUUUCCCAUUUAAACAACAAUGUUGUAAGCUUCUAUAUGGCGAUAUAUUUUGCAUGAUGGAACACACUAAAGUCAUUACUUUUAACGUUUCCACCCAAAUAUCUCUUUAGUCAUCAUAAAGAGAUAUCCUAUUAUCUCUUCAUUCAAAAUGAAGAGACAUCCAAUGAUGGAGUGUUGGAAAUGUGCCCUAAAACCAAUCAUAUGAUGAUAUUUUAUGGACAUUUCACAUGUUAAACUAAUCUAGUUUAAUAUAAAGGGCAAAGAUUAUUGUUUUAAGCCAUCUCAUAUAAAUGUUAUACGCUUAAACAAUAAGUCCAAGGAAUGUGCAAUUGGGAGAAUGUGAUCUAAAGAAGUUAGAUUCAUGAGACCAUUCCUUUUCGUUUACAUAUCCUAAACGUUCUUGAUCAUAGGAUUGCCGAUUGGGCAUUGACAGUCCUUUCAGAUCAGUACGUGCUAUGUCUUCUCUUAGGGAGAGUGACUGGUCUCUAGUCAUUGGUGUAAUUGACACCAAGACAAGCAUGUAGGUGCUCAAUAGAGAAUGAGUCCACUGAAAAUGAUCAACAAGGAGUUCUCAUACUCAUGUCACAUGAGAACUCAUGGUUGGGAUAAUGCAACGUAGUCCUUUGACUUGAGGCAUCAUAGUUAUCUUGUGGUUAGGCCCUUGAUCUUUGAUUAUAUCAAAGUCACUAUGUCAGAGGGUGUCCACGACAUAGUUCGGGUUAAGCCACUUAGCCAUGGGGACAAGUGAAUGCUAAACAAGGGAUCUCUAACCUUCAAACCAUUUGAGGGAGAAUACUCUAUGAUAUAAUUAAGAAUCUUUGGCCAGAGAAUGAAUGCGAUUUAGGAAGUCCUUCCAAAUCACAUUCAAGGUAAUCCUAUAAGUAAAAGAAUCACAUUGGAUAGUAAACAUGAAUAAACUAUCAAACCAAACAAUGUGGUCAAGAGUAUUGUAUUAGUGAAAGACCGUAUUGCAUUGUAAUCUUAAACGGAAUAGGUUCUCCACCUUUUCUGAUUAGCUUGUGUAACCAUGACAUACUGCUAGGUGUCACUCAUGGUUUGUGGAAGCCUUGGUAAUAUUCAUCAAAGGGAGAAUUGAAAUGUUGUUUCAAUUCACAAUCGAUCGUUAAGAGUAACAAUCAUCCACUGCCUCACUAAAAGGAUCUUAAUGGAUCGUACAUCGUGUAAAGUAGAGAUUGAAGAAACAACGGAGUUGAGUAAGAACAAUUAAAUGGUUUAAUUGUUUAUGGCUAAGAUUAAUUAAUAUGUUAAUUAAUCAAACGAAUAAGUUUGUUUUAGACCUCAAGUUAGUUUUGGGCCUCAAGGCCCAAUGGGUUUCGAAUGUCAAGCCCAUUGACUUAAGUUAUAUGACAACUUAAUGAAUAAAGAUUCAAGAGGACCCAAACAGCCCGAAGACCAUGGAAGGCCGGCCAUAUUGAUGAAAUAGGGUUUUGGUUCUUUUUGUCACUUAAGUGAUGUGACUAUAUAAAGAACUUUAUAGCCAAAAUUCAUUAAGGAUUCUUUUAGAGGAAAUUGGAUAGAACAAGUCUCUCCCUUUCUCCCUAGGAGGUCGGCCCCUUGGAGGUGAUUAGCUAGCAAUCUACCCUCCUCGAAGGUUACUCAUCUCUUCUUCUAGUCUCUCCUUGGUGUGGAGACUUAGAGGUUCUCUACUUUGGGAACUUGGAGAAUCCAUUCUACCAUCCUCAUCCAAGAAAUCCAUGGAGCUAAGAAGGAAUGAAGGCCCUAUCUCUUGGGUGAUUAGCCUUUGCUUAUGCAAAGAGGAAUCAACAAAUAUAUAAUAUUUCUCAACUCACUUUGUUCUUGAGUUGAGUCUUGGUUCACCACACUCACUAGGCCAUGAAUUUCAUGGGUAAAGUUUUGUUUUUGAGUGCAUACAAGCAUGAUUCCGUCUUUAAUUUUUAAUUGCAUGUUGUAGAUGUUGCGCAAAUGAACUUGUUUUCACAAAUAUUUGCUUCAAGGAGAUCUCCUACGAGGCACCAGAGUGGAUAGCUGCACAGCAAACUGAGGGAAGCAUGAGAGAAGUCCGACUCAAGUUAAAUUGGCAACCCAUGCUACGUGCUAAAUGCGACAGCGAGUACAUAUCCUAAACGUUGUGAAAGAGUAGCACAUGCCAGUAAGUCAACACCGGGGGCAACUGGAGGCUCUAAUACCCCAACAGAGGCAAAUUGACAUAGCCCGCCCUGUAAUGUUCACUAGGACUCCAAAUCGAGCUGUGCUGGCUGACACCUGGAAGGUGACGAAGCCAUAAAGUAUAAUGAUGGGGAAAAUGUGAAUAAAUUUAAAUCUAAAAAUGUCUAAAGACCAGAGUACGCUGUCAGAGCAUAAGUAAAGUACAGUAGUGUGGAUAAGGAUCAUACCCUUAGAGGUACCCACCUAUACUGAGACAUCAUACUAAGGUUUCAUUACGAUCCAAAGGUUGGGUCUCCGCCAAUUGAAAUUUCAAGUGGCGGUCACAAUGGCAUAUGAUCUCUUCUUAGCCAACACCUUCUUUAAGAAGAGAGAAGUGAAGGAUUUAUUUUGAAAAACAUGUUCAUUUGAGCAACAUCAUAUAGCAUGCAAUUAACAAUUAAAGGCGGAAUCAUGCUUGCAUGCACUCAAAAACAAAACAUUACCAUGAAAUUCAAAGCCUAGUAGAUUGGUGAACCAAUAAUCAACUCAAAACAAAGUGAGUUGAAAUUAUUACCUUUGUAGAUUCCUCUUUGCAUAAGCAAAGGCUAAUCACCCAAAGAGAUAGGGCCUUCAUUCCUUGCUUCUUAGAUCCAUGGAUUUGGAUAGAAAAUAGGUUUCUCCAAGUUCCCAAAAUAGGGAACCUCUAAGUCUCUUCACCAAGGUUUGAUUGUAGAAGAAAUGAGUGACCUUGGAGUAGUAGGAUUGCUAGAUGUACCCUCCAAGGUGUUGGCCUCUUUAGAGAGAAAAUGGAGAGACAAUUCUCACCCAUUUUCACCCAAAAUAAACCCUUAAUCACCUUAAUGAAUAUUUGGCUAUAAAGUCCUUUAUAUAGUCACUUCUUUAAGUGACCUAAACAACCAAAACCCUAAUUCAUCACCAUAUGGCCGGCCACCUAAGGAAUUUUGGGCUUUUGGGCUUUAAUGAAUCUUUAUUCAUUAAAUUGUCAUACAACUUAAGUUAAUGGGCUUGACGUUCGAAGCCCAUUGGGCCUUAAGGUCCAAAACUAUCCCGAGGUCUUUAACGAACUUAUUCGUUUGAUUAAUUAACAUAUUAAUUAAUCCUUGCCAUAAAUAAAUGAUUAAACCAUUUAAUCAUUCUUACUCAUUUCCGUUUAAUCUCCAAUCUCCUACCUUUUUUACGGGUGUGCGAUCCAUUAGGUUCCUUUUAGCGAGGUAGUGGGCGAUUAAAAACCAUUUUACAUCGAUUGUGAAUUGAAACUUAUUUUCAAUUUCUCCCUUUAGUGAUUACACACGUUUAGGGCUUCCACAAACCAUGAGUGACACCUAGCAGCAUAUCAUGGUUACCCAAGCUAAUCAGAAGAGGUGGAGAACCUAUUCAGUUCGGGAUUACAAAUGCAAUACGGUCCUUCUCUAAUCUAAUACUCUUGACCACAUUGUUUGGUUAUGAUAGUUUAUUUACUCAUGUCUACUAUCCAAUGUGAAUCGUUUGCUUAUAUGAUUUCCUUGAAUGUGAUUUGGAACGCAUUCCCCUAAAUCUCAUUCAUACUCUGGCCAGAGAUUCCAAAUCAUAUCAUAGAGUAUUCUCCCUCAAAUUGUUUGAAGGUUAGAGAUCCCUUGUUGCGCAUUCACUUCUCUCCAUAGCUAAGUGGCUUAACCCCAACGAUGCCGUGGACACCCCGAAGGGGGUGAAUUGACAUAAUCAAAGAUCAAGGACUUAACCACAAGACAACUGUGAUGCCUCAGGUCAAAGGACUACUUUGCAUUAUCCCAACCAUGAGUUCUCAUGUGACAUGGAAUAUGAGAACUCUUCGUUGAUCACGUUCAGUGAACUCAUUCUCUUAUUGAGCACCUACGUACUUGUCUUGAUGUCACACACACCAAUGACUCGAGACUAGUCACUCUCCCUGAGAGAAGACACAGUACGUACUGAUCUUAACGGACUGUCAAUGCCCAAUUGGCAAUCCUAUGAUCAGGAACAUUUAGGAUGUGUCUACGAAAGAAUGGUCUCAUUAAUCUAACUUCAUUAGAUUGCAUUCUCCCAAUCACAUAUUCCUUGGACUUUAUCGUUUAAGCAUAUAACAUUUAUAUGAGACGGCUCAAACAAUAAUCUUUGCCCUUUAUAUGUUUAAACUAGAUUAGUUUAACAUGUGAAAUGUCCGUAAAGUAUCAUCAUAUGAUUGGUUUUAGGGCACAUUUCCAACAAUCUCCCACUUGCACUAGAGCCAAUCAGCUUGGUCAUCAGUGAUGAUACCUCUUCUGUAGUCAUUUCAUAAAUGGCUGAAUAGUAGGCCUAGGCAAGUGGAUAUCUAUAUGUGUUAUCCAUAGAAGCAACCUUGAGAAUAACGACGUCACCAUUAUACAUGAUUCUCAAUCAUGUGGUUCAGUCUCUCAUUUGAGUUCGGAUCUUGAUGAGACCUUGAUUCCCAGGCUUGAGCUAUCGCCCCAGUGUUAGUGUCAUACACUUUCUGGUUGGAACCGAAUAGAGAGUUCAUAAAUGAACUUUCCCAUCCAAACAACAUUGUUGUAAACUUCUAUAUGGCAAUAUAUCUUGCAUUCAUAAUGGAACACACUAAAGUCAUUACUUUAAUGUUUCCAUCCAAAUAUCUCUUUAGUCAUAAUAAAGAGAUAUUCGUUUAUCUCUUCAUUCAUAAUGAAGAAACAUCCAAUGAUGGAUUAGAUUCAUAAUCUAAUACAUUUACGCUUCCAUUACGUUACUCUAAUUCUUCCUCGAUCUUUGAGGAAUUUAUCCUUUAGUAUUUCUUAAAUACUUAAGGACUCACUUGACAGUUGCCAUGGUUCUGAUCCUGGGCUUGCACUGAUAUCGUCUUGUACCGUUCUAGGUACAACUCAUAUCAAUGUUUUUCAUACAAUAUGAAAUACAUAAAUCACCUUUCUGCGUAUGCAUAAAGGAUUCUAUUUACGCAUUAUUUCUUUGGGAGUCAAAGGGUACGUUCCCUUUGAGAAGGGCAACUUGCUAGUCUCACUAGAAUCGUCCUUCUUAUUGAAGUUUAUCAUCAUAUGAGAAACUUCCUAGCAUCCAUUGUCUAUUAUUAGGGAUUGAUAUAAUCCAAUUAUAUCAUGAAAUAUAUCAUUAUAGAUUUCCAUCCCAUGUAUAUAGACUAUAUCUCCCAUAUAUACAUUCUAUCUUCAUAUAAUGUAUUAAAGUCAUAACUUUAACGAAGAAGUAUUCUUUUUCAUUUCCAAAAUUAAUAUAUCAUAUAUAUUUAAAUUUUUAGGAACAUGAUUAACUCCCACUAAUCUUUUGUAAACCUAGUAAACAAAAGAUUCAUUUACAUCUUUAUGAGAAAUCAAACGAUUUGAUCCUUUUUCUCAUAAAGAUGCAAAUAGCUCCCACUAGCUUGCUAAGAUCCAUGAUGGAUGGAUCUCUACAACUUACAUGUCUUGUGAUUUAUAGUUUUAGACAUAUAUUAUCAAGACUAUCUUAAUAAUGGUUUCGGAAACCCAUAUUAUGUCCAAACAUUGAAUCACCAUUUAGUUGUAGCUAGCAAUCUUCGAAUUAAUUGAAACUAAGACUACGUCAAAAAUGGUUUCCUUCAAAGUCAACCAUUCUCUUUGAUUGUAGUCACCUUAAGCUACCAAUUAGCUUAUGAAGGUUUCAUUAUUUCGGGUCAAAUGGUACUUUACCAUUUCCUUGAGUAUAUAUCGUAUAUGUACUCAAUGUAGUCAUAAAGUUCAAAACCAUUCAACUGAGACGGUUUAUAAAUCCUUAUCGACUACCUUGGAGCUUGUGGUAUAGGAACUAGGUUGUUAUAUUUGUUGAUUACUUAUCUUGUCUCUCAAAGAACCCAUUCUUUGAGUUUCUAUCUCUCGUUCAUUUGCUUUUAGGCAAAUCACAUUGUAGAGGAUUACAAUGAACUACCCAACAAAACAACAUUUGUUAGUUGGUUUAUAGAAGCGAUAUCCAAAAGUUAAUUUAAGGAUAUCCUACAAGAUUGUUAUCAAACAAAUAUUGCUUAUUAGCACACAACCCCAAAUCUUAACAUGCUUAAGAUUUGUCUUUCUUUCCAACUACAUCUUAUGGAGUCAUGAAAAAUAUUGGAAGAUCUUCUAAUUGACAAUCAUAUUGUUUUAGAAGUAUAUAUCCUAUAUAUGGGUAAUAGAUAACAUCUAACGAACUAAAUCUUAUUCGAGUUCGUUCUUCUCCUAAUGGAGAAAUAUAUUAUCUUAUGAUGCUAUUUUCCUUGAUAUCUUUCAAGGAAACUUAUCUAAAGUGUUACCUUUCCUUGGAUCAAAUCUAAGGAGGUAAAUACUUUAGAUGUCUUACUCAUCAACUUACAUUUACUUGAAUUCUUUGAAACCUUUUGCAAAGUAUUCGGACUUGUGUUUAUUCAAAAUAAACUAUAGUCCAACCGAGAGUGAUCUUCGGUGAAUGUCAUUCAACAUGAGUAGUAUUAUGUUUGUGGACAAGUGCCACUAACAUCUAAGUGAAUUAACCUCAACAACUUUGUGAUUCUUUCUUCUUUCCAAAAGAAUAAAGAUUCGAACAUUUCGCCUCUAUACAAUUUUAACAAGAAGGUAUUGGAUCCGGAUCUAACGAUCCAAAGCAUCCAUUUAUGACCAACUCGUAAUUUAUGUUUUAGAGGUAUCACAACUUUAGUUGGGAUUAGUCACUACCUUGCAACCUUUUGGGUUUUAAGCAUCAUUAUAUUCUAAACAGUUAACACUACCAUAUCAUCUCUACUAUAGAGACAAUCAAUUAGAUUACUAUAAUCCAAUUUCUUUGGUAGUUCAUAUGAGGAAGUAAGUACUAUCUGCUUUCGCAGAGAUCUAUAUCUUAUUCACGUUCCGUAUGUGAAGCACCUUUUUCUUCUCUCAUAUAUCUUCUACUUCUUAUUAGUCACACUUUUACAACGAUUUGUAAAACAUAGUUACUAAUACGGAAUCAUACAUUCAAGUAGAAGAACCAACUGUUUUGAACUAUUCAAGAACAUUUUACAACACCUUCGAAAGGUGUGUUCUUGACACUUGCAAGACAUUUCUUGCAAAUACCCCUUCCAUGUCCAUCUUUUCAUAAAGAAAGUUUGUUCCCUUGGAGUUAUUUAUCUUCUUCAUUUGACUUCUCCUUUGACUACAAUAGUCAUGGUCCCUAAACUCCCACUAUCUCUCUUGAAACCUUUUUUUCAAUUGUGUUAUACACAUCAAACAUUUUGGAGAGCAUGUGGUUUAUUGUUCACUACAUAGUUUACAAUAAGCUUAGUGAACGAUUAGGAUAGGGAAACAAAGGUGAAGUCCUUGCCUAGUUUCCGUCUCGUUAAGUGUUUUAACACUUCAACACUUAAUGAUUCAAAAUCAUCAUAAGUCCAUGUUAAUGGACUAUUUUUGUCAACCAACCAUUAUGUUCUAAACAUAAUUACAAACCUUCAAGAGUUGUACAAGGCAACUCUCAUUUCUUCAUACAACAAUUUGUAAA